UGGGGAAUUUUGGACAAUGGGCGAAAGCCUGAUCCAGCCAUGCCGCGUGCAGGAUGAAGGCCUUCGGGUUGUAAACUGCUUUUGUACGGAACGAAAAGACUCCUUCUAAUAAAGGGGGUCCAUGACGGUACCGUAAGAAUAAGCACCGGCUAACUACGUGCCAGCAGCCGCGGUAAUACGUAGGGUGCAAGCGUUAAUCGGAAUUACUGGGCGUAAAGCGUGCGCAGGCGGUUAUAUAAGACAGAUGUGAAAUCCCCGGGCUCAACCUGGGAACUGCAUUUGUGACUGUAUAGCUAGAGUACGGCAGAGGGGGAUGGAAUUCCGCGUGUAGCAGUGAAAUGCGUAGAUAUGCGGAGGAACACCGAUGGCGAAGGCAAUCCCCUGGGCCUGUACUGACGCUCAUGCACGAAAGCGUGGGGAGCAAACA
rnacentral:rRNA from 1 species